rnacentral:rRNA from 1 species
AUAUCAGUAAGCGGAGGAAAAGAAAUUAACAAAGAUUGCCCUAGUAGCGGCGAGUGAAGAGGCAACAGCUCAAGUUGAGAAUCGAUUGUAGUAAUGCUCUCGAAUUGUAAUCUAAAGUGCAGUCCAGAAGGUGAGAACGACGCACAAACUCCUGGAAAGGAGUGUCAUAGAGGGUGACAACCCCGUACAUGGUGUCGUUCUUGCUGUAUGGAAGGCUACAAAGAGUCGGGUUGUUUGGGACUGCAGCCCAAAAUGGGAGGUAAACUUCUCCUAAGGCUAAAUAUUGGUGGGAGACCGAUAGCGCACAAGUA